rnacentral:SRP_RNA from 1 species
GCUGGGCAUGGUUGCGCAUGCCUGUAGUCCCAGGUACUUGGGAGGCUGAGACAGGAGAACUGCUUGAACCCAGGAGGUGGAGGUUGCAGCAAGCUGAUAUUGUGCCACUGCACUCCAGCCUGGGUGACAGAGCGAGACCCUGUCUCAA